rnacentral:rRNA from 2 species
UUAAGUUAACAAGGGCGCAUGGUGAAUGCCUUGGCACUAGGAGCCGAUGAAGGACGGGACUAACACCGAUAUGCUUCGGGGAGCUGUACGUAAGCUAUGAUCCGGAGAUUUCCGAAUGGGGCAACCCAGCAGUUUUAAUCAACUGUUACCACUAGAUGAAUUCAUAGUCUAGUUGGAGGUAAACGCUGUGAACUGAAACAUCUCAUUAGCAGCAGGAAUAUAAAGAAAUUUCGAUUCCCUAAGUAGCGGCGAGCGAACGGGGAACAGCCCAAACCAAAGUGCUUGCACUUUGGGGUUGUAGGACUGAACAUUUGAGUUACCAAAGAACUUGAUAGUCGAAGGAUUUGGGAAAAUCCGCCAUAGAUGGUGAUAGCCCAGUAGAUUAAAUCAAAUUCUCUCAGUUCAGGAUCCUGAGUACGGCGGAACACGUGAAAUUCCGUCGGAAUCCGGGAGGACCAUCUCCCAAGGCUAAAUACUACCUAGUGACCGAUAGUGAACCAGUACCGUGAGGGAAAGGUGAAAAGCACCCCGGGAGGGGAGUGAAAUAGUUCCUGAAACCAUGUGCCUACAAUAAGUCAGAGCGCGUUAAUGCGUGAUGGCGUGCCUUUUGUAGAAUGAACCGGCGAGUUAUGAUCCCGUGCAAGGUUAAGACUAAAAAGUCGGAGCCGUAGCGAAAGCGAGUCUGAAAUGGGCGUUUUGAGUACGAGGUUAUAGACCCGAAACCAGGUGACCUAUCCAUGUCCAGGUUGAAGGUGCGGUAAAACGCACUGGAGGACCGAACCCGUGUAAGUUGAAAAUUGCUGGGAUGAGGUGUGGAUAGCGGUGAAAUUCCAAACGAACUUGGAGAUAGCUGGUUCUCUCCGAAAUAGCUUUAGGGCUAGCCUCGGAAUUAGGAUCAUGGAGGUAGAGCACUAUUUGGACUAGGGGCCCGUCUUGGGUUACUGAAUUCAGAUAAACUCCGAAUGCCAUUGAUUCAUAUCCGGGAGUCAGACGAUGAGUGAUAAGAUCCACCGUCGAAAGGGGAACAGCCCAGACCAUCAGUUAAGGUCCCUAAAUGUAUGCUAAGUGGAAAAGGAUGUGGAGUUGCAUAGACAACUAGGAUGUUGGCUCAGAAGCAGCCACCAUUUAAAGAGUGCGUAAUAGCUCACUAGUCGAGUGAUCCUGCGCCGAAAAUGUACCGGGGCUAAGCAUACUACCGAAACCAUGGAUGCGACCAUUAGGUCGCGUGAUAGGAGAGCGUUCUAAGGGCGGUGAAGCAAGAUCGUGAGGACUUGUGGAGCGCUUAGAAGUGAGAAUGCCGGUAUGAGUAGCGAAAGAUAGGUGAGAAUCCUAUCCACCGAAUGACUAAGGUUUCCUGGGGAAGGCUCGUCCUCCCAGGGUUAGUCGGGACCUAAGUCGAGGCCGAGAAGCGUAGACGAUGGAUAACAGGUUGAGAUUCCUGUACUAGUUAAGUGCGUUUGAGCAAUGGAGGGACGCAGGAGGCUAAGAUGUGCAUUCUGUUGGAUUAGAAUGUCCAAGCAGUAAGUCUUGUGAAGAGUCAAAUGCUUUUCACUUUAAGGACAAGCUGUGAUGGGGAGCGAAAUUUAGUAGCGAAGCGUCUGAUGUCACACUGCCGAGAAAAGCUUCUAGUGAGUACUUAACUACCCGUACCGCAAACCGACACAGGUAGUCGAGGAGAGAAUCCUAAGGUGAGCGAGUGAACUCUCGUUAAGGAACUCGGCAAAAUGACCCCGUAACUUCGGGAGAAGGGGUGCUGAUCGCAAGAUCAGCCGCAGUGAAUAGGCCCAGGCGACUGUUUAUCAAAAACACAGGUCUCUGCAAAAUCGUAAGAUGACGUAUAGGGGCUGACGCCUGCCCGGUGCUGGAAGGUUAAAAGGAUGGGUUAGCUUCGGCGAAGCUCAGAAUUGAAGCCCCAGUAAACGGCGGCCGUAACUAUAACGGUCCUAAGGUAGCGAAAUUCCUUGUCGGGUAAGUUCCGACCCGCACGAAAGGCGUAACGAUCUGGGCACUGUCUCAACGAGAGACUCGGUGAAAUUAUAUUGUCCGUGAAGAUGCGGACUACCCGCGACAGGACGGAAAGACCCCAUGGAGCUUUACUGUAGCUUGAUAUUGAGUGUUUGUACAGCUUGUACAGGAUAGGUAGGAGCCAUAGAAACCGGAACGCUAGUUUCGGUGGAGGCGUUGGUGGGAUACUACCCUCGCUGUAUGACCACUCUAACCCGCACCACUAAUCGUGGUGGGAGACAGUGUCAGGUGGGCAGUUUGACUGGGGCGGUCGCCUCCUAAAAAGUAACGGAGGCGCCCAAAGGUUCCCUCAGAAUGGUUGGAAAUCAUUCGCAGAGUGUAAAGGCACAAGGGAGCUUGACUGCGAGACAGACAGGUCGAGCAGGGACGAAAGUCGGGCUUAGUGAUCCGGUGGUACCGUAUGGAAGGGCCAUCGCUCAACGGAUAAAAGCUACCCUGGGGAUAACAGGCUUAUCUCCCCCAAGAGUCCACAUCGACGGGGAGGUUUGGCACCUCGAUGUCGGCUCAUCGCAUCCUGGGGCUGUAGUCGGUCCCAAGGGUUGGGCUGUUCGCCCAUUAAAGCGGUACGCGAGCUGGGUUCAGAACGUCGUGAGACAGUUCGGUCCCUAUCCGUCGCGGGCGUAGGAAAUUUGAGAGGACCUGUCCUUAGUACGAGAGGACCGGGAUGGACAUACCUCUGGUGUACCAGUUGUGCCGCCAGGCGCAUCGCUGGGUAGCUACGUAUGGAUGUGAUAAACGCUGAAAGCAUCUAAGUGUGAAACACACCUCGAGAUGAGAUUUCCCAUUCCUUUAUGGAAGUAAGACCCCUGAAAGAUGAUCAGGUAGAUAGGUUAGAAGUGGCAGUGCGGUGACGCAUGAAGCGGACUAAUACUAAUCGGUCGAGGACUUAACCAAG